rnacentral:rRNA from 1 species
GCUCAGAACGAACGCUGGCGGCGUGGAUAAGACAUGCAAGUCGAACGGGAUAUUAUUUGUAGCAAUACAAGUGAUGUCCAGUGGCGUAAGGGUGCGUAACACGUGGGCAAUCUGCCGAGAAGUGGGGGAUAGCUCGCCGAAAGGCGAAUUAAUACCGCAUGUGGUUAGGGGAGACAUCUCUCUGACACCAAAGCCGGGGCAACCUGGCGCUUCUUGAUGAGCCCGCGGCCUAUCAGCUAGUUGGUGAGGUAACGGCUCACCAAGGCUAUGACGGGUAGCUGGUCUGAGAGGACGACCAGCCACACUGGAACUGAGACACGGUCCAGACACCUACGGGUGGCAGCAGUCGAGAAUUUUUCUCAAUGGGGGAAACCCUGAAGGAGCGACGCCGCGUGGAGGAUGAAGGUCUUCGGAUUGUAAACUCCUGUCAUUAGGGAACAAUUGCCGGCAAAUAACUACUGCCGGCUUGAUAGUACCUGAA